GCGGCAGUAGCUCAGAUGGUAGAGCAUCAGCUUCCCAAGCUGAGGGUCGCGGGUUCGAUUCCCGUCUGCCGCU
rnacentral:tRNA from 1 species